rnacentral:tRNA from 1 species
GGAUUGUGGCUCAGUGGUAGAGCGCUCGCCUAGCACAUGCCAGGCCCUGGGUUCGAUCCUCUGCACCA